UACGUAGGGGGCGAGCGUUGUCCGGAAUGAUUGGGCGUAAAGGGCGCGUAGGCGGCUGAGUAAGUCUGGAGUGAAAGUCCUGCUUUUAAGGUGGGAAUUGCUUUGGAUACUGCUUAGCUUGAGUGCAGGAGAGGUUAUCGGAAUUCCCGGUGUAGCGGUGAAAUGCGUAGAGAUCGGGAGGAACACCAGUGGCGAAGGCGGGUAACUGGACUGCAACUGACGCUGAGGCGCGAAAGUGUGGGGAGCAAAC
rnacentral:rRNA from 1 species